ACCCAGUGUUCCCUUUAGAAAGACGUACAGCAUCCAGGGCAAGGAGCUGAAGGCACUGUGUGGCUGGCAGUGUGAAGGUGAAAGGCCCUCAGCGGCACACUGGGCACCUGGCAAGAGCCCUCCGCAGGGAAACAUCGUGCUGCUGUGCACAAAGGUAACCGACACCUCCCUUACCGCGGAGAAGAGGAGCGACUUUAGUAGUUCGCUGAGCAACUACUGCUGCUAGAGCCUGUGAGAUGGGCGCCGUGAAGGCUACAAACCUUAGAGCAGACCUAGGAAGACUGAGAAGCAACGCAUUCAAGAGUUGCACUGCAAGGCUGAAAGAGAGGUAGAGCUACAGAAAGGCAGAAGCAGAGAGAGAGAGGUCUUCCAUCCGCUGGCUCACUCCCCAAAUGACCGCAACAGCCGGAGCUGGGCUGAUCCGAAGCCAGGAGCCACUAGCCUCUUCCAGGCCUCUCACGAAAGUGCUGGGACCCAAGGACUUGAGUCAUCCUCUACUGCUUUCCCAGGCCACAGCAGAGAGCUGGAUUGGAAGUGGAACAGCAAGGACUCGAACCUGCGCCCAUAUGGGAUACCGGCACUGCAGGAGGCAGCUUUACCCAAUAUACCACAGCAGUGGCCCCCAGAUGUUGAUCAACAGGUAACCACAUAAAUAAAAGUGUUAGAAUACUUCUCAGUAAU